GCUUCUGAGCAUAUGGGUCAUCUGCUCGACGAGAAGGAUGUGAUGAUUAAGGAAUUAACUUCUUCUAGCAAGGCAAUUAAGGCUGCUGACUCUAAGGUGAAUCUUGCCCAUUCAUAUAGCUUGGCAGGUUAUAGUAAAGUUUACUUCUUUCUUGAAAUAAAGAAUAACGGAACUAGAAGAAAUCAUACGAAGGAAGACUAUGGUCAUCUCCAAAUUGAAGUAGGAUAUGGCUGUUCCGGCAGGUUGUUGAACUUAAGAGACUCCGAAGACGUUCUUCUACUACUUUGGAGUCUGAUUCCUCUAGUGCUUCAUGCUCUGAAGGUUCACGACUUCCUGUCCUGGCAACUAAUAUUUAUUUUGACAUAAGUAGCACCAGUCAAUCAUCCUCUGAUCCUGACUCUCCCGUGGCCAGCAAAGGAUACCCUUUGCGAUUUCCAGUUGGUAAGGAUUAGUCCCAGCAGCAUUGCAGCAGAAAAGUAGACAGUAUAGAACAGCCUUUAUCAGAGCAUUCCAUUUCUCAACAGAUAGCCCUGGGUCGCAAUGAUCUAUUAGUCCUCUUAAAGAGAACCGGAGGCUUCAUAUAUAUCUGAACCGGCUACCGCAUUUAAACAGAGGAAACUUGCUAAAUCUAGUGAAGAUUCAAAGAGCAACAGAAAUGCUGCUUGCCAGAAAGGAAAUCCCAUAGCUGCAAGGAGGAGGUGGAGUUGAAUCAUGCUGUCAGUUUGGUUUCAUACUUCUUUCUGGCUUUGAAUAAUACUGAUGCAUGUUUUUUCAAUCUGCAAUCUUUUGAUACCAUGAUCAGCAAGGUAAUCUACUGAUCUGCAACUUCAGACUGUGAGUUAAACUUCAUUGAUGGAAUUGUUUUUUUUUUUUCAAGCCAAAUUAAUUUUAGUUUAGUUCGGUUGAUGGUUUGGUCAUGCAUCAGUUCUUUUACAUUUAGUUAAUAAGCAUUUCCAGAAUUGAUGGAUAGAGAACGCCUA